ensembl:lincRNA
GGCCAGGGCUCUUCUGGCCCCCAGGAAAUUCUCAGUUCCCUUCUGGUCCUACUUCCGUUCCUACGGGAGAACUUCCGGGAGCAACAGAAAUAAGGGUGAUCCAGCUACCAACUCUCUCUGGUUUGUCCAGAAAGCAUCCUCCGUUACUAACGGUUUCCUGGAUUCCGUUGGGAAGGCGGCCAUCAUGAGAGAACCGUUCCCGGACAGUAUUAGAAAGGUGCAGAUCCAUUUUCACCAUUUCUCCAAGUGUGAUUUGAAACAGUAACUGUCAAAUUUCAGAGACAUCAGGAUGGCAGCAAAAAUCCAUCGCAUACAGCAACAAAUGUCUGAGUGGCCUGAAAUUGAACACUGCUCUUAAUGGCACAGUUCCUUUUGUACCUCUGGCUCGCACUUGUUUUUAUUAGAUUGUUUUUGUUUCUGAUAAAAUAACUAUGAAUUCACUGGAACCUUGGCAAGUGAGAGAUAGCACAAGUCACACACUGUGGCAAUAGUCAGAUGCAGGCAACAUUAACAACCUGGCAUUAAUCUGUACUUCGAGAUAUGUGAUAGAAAGGAGAAGCUACACAUUUGUAAAUCAAAAUGUAUCCUGCCUCAGUUCAUUUAUCUUCUACCAUCUCUUGUUAAAUUCAUCUGGACUCAUUUCCCUCAUUUUGUUGAGAAGGUGACUUUAAAUUUUUUUUUUAAUUAAUUAAUUAUUUUUUGUACCAAAAAUACUACUCUGGACCUUGAAUGUUUGAGGCAGGUGAAGCACCACUGAGCUAAAUCCCCACACAAGAUGAUGAUUUUUGUUUUGUUUUGUUUUUUGAGACAGGGUCUCACUAUGCCGUUGAUACUACCCUGGAACUCAGUAUGUAGCCCAGGCUGGUCUUGAACUCACAGCAUUCCUCCUGCUUCAGCCUCCGGAGUGCUGGGAUUACAGGCAUGCACCACUACGCCUAGCUCAGAUGAUGAUUUUUAAAGGUCUCAAGGUGAACACGCAGUGGUUCUUUUCAAAUUCAUUAACUGAUUUCAAUUAGUCAUUUAGGCUCUUGUCUUCCAACUAAAACAAAUUUUCCCAUUUAUUGAAUGUUAAGAAAAAUUCUAUAGUCACUAUAUGAAUCACUAUCCAAAGUUCAUGCACAUUAAUUAUCAUUUUUUCAUCAUUUUUGUGUACUUGUGGUAAUGAGGAAGGAGCCCAGUGACCUUGAUAAUCAACAGUACCCCUAUUUCCACAUUUUUAUUUUGAGAAAGAUCCUCACCAAAUCUCUAAGUGGCCCAGGCUGCAGUUGAACUUGGGACCCUAUUGUAUCACUUUUCUGAGUGGCUGAGAUAAAAUGUUUUCAAUUGACAAAUAUUGUGCAUCCUUUAUGUCCACGAUCGUGGACAUUACCUAGAAAAGUAGAUUGCACAAAACACAUAGCAUACUGAAUUUUAAAUACCCACACAUUAAUAGAAUCGUGGAUGGAUUUGUGCAACUGGCUAAAGAUUUUCAUAGGAUAUAUUGUAAGACUUGAAUAGGCUAAAGUGACUCCAUGCUAAUAGGCCAGACUGUGCUUCUUCAUAUGCUAAUUGCUACCUUGGUUAACAGCCCGCCCAGGGGCAAAUGGUUUGACAAAAGGUGACCCUAGAACAUUUCCUGCAUAAGAUAAGCAAUGUGUUUGCAGUCUUGUUCUGUGAAUUCCCUGACUCUUUGUUUAGAAAAACCUUAUAAAAAGUACCUCAGCCCCUGAGCAGUUGCCUCUCUGAGCCACCUGGCUCCGGGAGUGCCAUCUGGCCAGACUAAUAAAGGUCUUUUACCAUCUAGCCUGGUGUGUUCCUUCCUGGGUUUCUCGGUUCUCUGUCGUGUUCCCGGAGCCUCGCUGGGUGUUAGGGCCCAGCAUCGUGGAGGCCUUUCGGCUGUUCACGCUCCGUGG